CGCUCACAUUUAUGGCCGCGACCGCCGCUUCUGGAGGCGGCAGCUCCGCGUCGGCUUCCAGCUCCUGUGCCGCCGGGCCGCCGAGGAGAUCCUGGCCCUGCGCUGACGUCCCCAAGGUCCCCGGGGUGUCCCCAAGGUCAUCAGGAUGUCCCCAAGGUCAUCGGGACGUCCCUGCACUCCUCAAGAUGUCCCCAAGGUCAUCAGGAUGUCCCCAAGGUCCUCAAGAUGUCCCCAUGGACCUCAAGAUGUCCCCAAGGUCAUCGGGACAUCCCUGCGCUCCUCAAGAUGUCCCCAAGGUCCUCAAGAUGUCCCCAAGGUCAUCGGGACGUCCUCGUGGUCCUCAGGAUGUCAUCAUGGUCCUCAAGAUGUCCCCAUGGAACUCAGGAUGUCCCCUGUGCUCCUCAAGAUGUCCCCAAGGUCAUCAGGAUGUCCUCGUGCUCCUCAAGAUGUCCCCAUGGAACUCAGGAGGUUCCCUGUGCUCCUCAAGAUGUCCCCAAGGUCCUCAAGAUGUCCCCAAGGUCAUUGGGACGUCCCUGUGGUCCUCAAGAUGUCCCCAAGGUCAUCAGGACGUCCCCUGUGCUCCUCAAGAUGUCCCCAAGGUCCUCAAGAUGUCCCCAUGGUCAUCAGGAUGUCCUCGUGGUCCUCAAGAUGUCCCCAAGGUCAUCAGGACGUCUCUGUGGUCCUCAAGAUGUCACCAUGGUCCUCAAGAUGUCACCAAGGUCAUCAGGACAUUCCUGUGGUCCUCAAGAUGUCCUCGUGGUCCUCAAGAUGUCCCCAGUGUCAUCGGGACGUCCCUGUGCUCCUCAAGGGAUUCCCAUCAUCUCCAGGACGUCCCUGUGGUCCUCAGAUGUCCCCAAGUUCUCCAGGAUGUCCCCAUGGUCCCCAAGAUGGCCCCAUGUUCUUCAGGACGUCCCCAAGAUGUCCCCAAGGCCACCAGGACGUCCCCAUGCUCCCCAAGAUGUCCCCAAGUUCUUCAGGAUGUCCUCAAGGCCACCAAGAUGUCCCCAUGGUCUCCAAGAUGUCCCCAAAAUCUUCAGGACAUCCCCAAGAUGUCCCCAAGGCCACCAGGACAUCUCCAUGGUCCCCAAGACGUCCCCAAGUUCUCCAGGAUGUCCCCAAGAUCUUCAGGAAGUCCCCAAGAUGUCCCCAAGGCCACCAGGAUGUCCGCAUGGUCCCCAAGAUGUCCCCAAAAUCUUCAGGACGUCCCCAAGGCCACCAGGAUGUCCUCAGUUGUCCCCAAGUUCUCCAGGAUGACCCCAAGAUGUCCCCAAGGCCACCAGGACGUCCCCAAGAUGUCCCCAAGCUCUCGGGGACACCCCCGAGGUUUUUAAUUGUUUAAUUGCGUUUUUCUGAACGGUCCAAUUAAUAAAUGGCAACGAUUUAUUGAUAUUUUUUUUAAU
rnacentral:lncRNA from 1 species